ensembl:miRNA
GUGCACAGGGCUCUGACCUAUGAAUUGACAGCCAGUGCUCUUGUCUCCUCUCUGGCUGCCAAUUCCAUAGGUCACAGGUAUGUUCGCC